CCUACGGGCGGCAGCAGUGAGGAAUAUUGGUCAAUGGACGCGAGUCUGAACCAGCCAUGUAGCGUGAAGGAUGACGGCCCUACGGGUUGUAAACUUCUUUUAUAAAGGAAUAAAGCGAGGCACGUGUGCCUUUUUGUAUGUACCUUACGAAUAAGGAUCGGCUAACUCCGUGCCAGCAGCCGCGGUAAUACGGAGGAAUCGAGCGUUAUCCGGAUUUCUUGGGUUUAAAGGGGACGUAGACGGGUUGGUAAGUCAGUUGUGAAAGUACGCGGCUCAACCGUAAAAUUGCAAUUGAUACUGGCAGUCUUUAGUAUAGUUGAGGUAGGCGGAAUUCGUGGUGUAGCGGUGAAAUGCUUAGAUAUCACGAAGAACUCCGAUUGCGAAGGCAGCUUACUAAACUGCCACUGACAUUGAUGCUCGAAAGUGUGGGUAUCAAACAGGAUUAGAUACCCCAGUAGUC
rnacentral:rRNA from 1 species